UUAGAGUUUGAUCAUGGCUCAGAGCGAACGCUGGCGGCAGGCUUAACACAUGCAAGUCGAGCGGGCGUAGCAAUACGUCAGCGGCAGACGGGUGAGUAACGCGUGGGAACGUACCUUUUGGUUCGGAACAACACAGGGAAACUUGUGCUAAUACCGGAUAAGCCCUUACGGGGAAAGAUUUAUCGCCGAAAGAUCGGCCCGCGUCUGAUUAGCUAGUUGGUGAGGUAACGGCUCACCAAGGCGACGAUCAGUAGCUGGUCUGAGAGGAUGAUCAGCCACAUUGGGACUGAGACACGGCCCAAACUCCUACGGGAGGCAGCAGUGGGGAAUAUUGGACAAUGGGCGCAAGCCUGAUCCAGCCAUGCCGCGUGAGUGAUGAAGGCCCUAGGGUUGUAAAGCUCUUUUGUGCGGGAAGAUAAUGACGGUACCGCAAGAAUAAGCCCCGGCUAACUUCGUGCCAGCAGCCGCGGUA
rnacentral:rRNA from 1 species